UACAGAGGGUGCGAGCGUUAAUCGGAAUUACUGGGCGUAAAGCGUGCGUAGACGGUAGCGUAAGUCAGAUGUGAAAGCCCCGGGCUCAACCUGGGAACUGCAUUUGAGACUGCUCUGCUCGGGUGCGGAAGAGGGAAGCGGAAUUUCCGGUGUAGCGGUGAAAUGCGUAGAGAUCGUAAGGAAGACCAGUGGCGAAGGCGGGUCUCUGGACAGUUCCUGACACUGAGGCACGAAGGCCAGGGGAGCAAACGGG
rnacentral:rRNA from 1 species